rnacentral:rRNA from 1 species
UACGUAGGGUGCAAGCGUUAAUCGGAAUUACUGGGCGUAAAGCGUGCGCAGGCGGCUUUGCAAGACAGAUGUGAAAUCCCCGGGCUCAACCUGGGAACUGCAUUUGUGACUGCAAGGCUAGAGUACGGCAGAGGGGGAUGGAAUUCCGCGUGUAGCAGUGAAAUGCGUAGAUAUGCGGAGGAACACCAAUGGCGAAGGCAAUCCCCUGGGCAUGUACUGACGCUCAUGCACGAAAGCGUGGGGAGCAAACAGG